rnacentral:rRNA from 1 species
UAGCUGUCUUAAUGAACCAACACCUUUUGUGGGAUCUAGGUUAGCGGAUACUUUGGCACUUUAACUCGACGUUCGGAUCAUCCCGCAUCGCCAAUCUAGCUUACCCAGAUUGGCCCACUAGCAACCGUCAUUCGACCACCGGGUUCAAUUAAGCAACCCAGGGUUCUUACCCAUUUAAAGUUUGAGAAUAGGUCGAGGACAAAGCGCCCCCGAUUCCUCUAAUCAUUCGCUUUACCUGAUAAAACUGUUCGGUUGCAGCUAUCCUAAGGGAAAUUUCGGGAGGAACCAGCUACUAGAUGGUUCGAUUAGUCUUUCGCCCCUAUACCCAAGUUCGACGAUCAAUUUGCACGUUAGAAUCGCUGCGGACCUCCACCAGAGUUUCCCCUGGCUUCGCCCUACUCAAGCAUAGUUCACCAUCUUUCGGGUCCCAACAUGUAUGCUCACACUCAAACCUUUCUCCCGGAGGAUCAUGGUCGGUCGAUAGUGCACCUAAGGAUCCUACCUAA